rnacentral:rRNA from 1 species
AUUGAACGCUGGCGGCAGGCCUAACACAUGCAAGUCGAACGAUUGGCGGACGGGUGAGUAAUGUCUGGGAAACUGCCCGAUGGCGGGGGAUAACUACUGUAAACGGUAGCUAAUACCGCAUACCAUCGGAUGUGCCCAGAUGGGAUUGGCUAGUAGGUGGGGUAAUGGCUCACCUAGGCGGCGAUCCCUAGCUGGUCUGAUAGGGUGACCAGCAACACUGGAACUGAGACACGGGCCAGACUCCUACGGGAGGCAGCAGUGGGGAAUAUUGCACAAUGGGCGCAAGCCUGAUGCAGCCAUGCCGAGUGUAUGAAGAAGGCCUUCGGGUUGUAAAGUACUUUCGGCGAGGAGGAGUUACUCGCAGAAGAAGCACCGGCUAACUCCGUGCCAGCAGCCGCGGUAAUAC